ACCCACCUGGCGGAAUAGGUAGACGUCCCUGCCUCAGAAGCAGGCGCCCGCAAGGGCAUGUCCGUUCGAAUCGGACGGUGGGUACCA
rnacentral:tRNA from 1 species